rnacentral:rRNA from 1 species
GUGCAGCAGUCGAGAAAACUUUACAAUGCGAGCAAUCGUGAUAAGGAAACCCUGAGUGCCUGUCAAUGCAGGCUGUUCUGGUGUCUAACACACACCAGGAGAAAGGGCGGGGCAAGACCGGUGCCAGCCGCCGCGGUAAUACCGGCUGCUCGAGUGAUAGCCACUUUUACUGGGCUUAAAGCGUUCGUAGCUUGGUCGUUAAGUCUCUGGGGAAAUCUUUUGGCUCAACCAAAAGGCGUCUCAGGGAAACUGGCGAUCUUGGAACCGGGAGAGGUAAGACGUACUUCGGGGGUAGGAGUGAAAUCUUGUAAUCCCCGAGGGACGACCGAUGGCGAAGGCAUCUUACCAGAACGGCUUCGACAGUGAGGGACGAAAGCUGGGGGAGCAAACCGGAUUAGAUACCCAUGUAGUCC